GAUGAACGCUGGCGGCGUGCCUAAUACAUGCAAGUCGAGCGAAGGGGCGCGAACCUUGUUGCUCUGAUGUUAGCGGCGGAGGGGUGAUUAACACGUGGAUAAUCUACCUAUCAGACUGGGAUAACUUCGGGAAACAGUAGCUAAUACCAGAUAAUAUUUUGAACCGCAUGGUUCAUAGGUGAGAGACGGUUUUGGUGUCACUUAUAGAUGGAUCCGCGCUGCAUUAGCUUGUUGGUGGGGUAACGGCUUACCAAGGCAACGAUGCAUAGCCGACCGGAGAGGGUGAUCGGCCACACGGGAGCGAAGACACGGCCCAGACUCCUCCGGGAGGCAGCAGUAGGGAAUCUUCCGCAAUGGUCGAAAGCCUGCCGGAGCAACGCCGCGGGAGGAAUGAAGGUCUUCGGAGCGUAAAACUCUUUUUUUAGGAAAGAAGAGAGGUGGAAGUAACUGUGCACAUCUUGACGGUACCUAAUCAGAAAGCCACGGCUAACUACGUG
rnacentral:rRNA from 1 species